UAAAUUACAACAACACACAAAUUUUAGGAAAAAUUUUAAAAACAACCGAAGUUCUAAUUGGAACUAAUUGAACUGCAGCGCAAAGGGAAAGGACUUAUAUCUCAAAUGUCCCUCAAUGACCAAACAUGUGGAUCUUGAGCGUGUGCAGGUUGAGUCAUUGGGUUGCAGCUCCUUGAAUGAUGCCAUUUUGAGGCCAUUAAUAUUGGCUUAAAACGGUGACGUCUAAGAGUCCUUAUAAUCACAAAACAAACCCUAAAAAUGAAGUUCGCAGCCAUUAAAAAAAUGAAACCCCAUGUUGCUCUCUCAAACUUUCAGCCGACUCAAGCCUAAUCACUUGCCUGACUCCAUCGCAGCCAACAACAGGCGCGUUCGCCCUUGAAAACGAUUUAUAGCCUCGGAUUCCUCUUUCGCCUUCGAUUUCGACGAAGCAAAGAGGAAUCAAUGGCAGAUUCGCAAGGUUCUGUUGACGUGGGGGCGUACGGAGAAGAAACAACUCGUGUGGAGGCCGUUCAUGGGAGGCCACUCGUGGGAGCCCGUUUCUGGCUAGUUGCGGCGCUGACGUUCCAGAAGCCUCUAGGGUUUCUGGUGCCUUUCCGAUGUUGGGCUCAUCUGGGUUUUGGGUUUGGGCCAUUGGAGUCGGGUCUAGGGUUCAAUUGGAAUUUUUGUAAUCUGUGAACUCUAUUCGGCUUUUGUUUUAAUUUAUUCGGUUUAUUUAUGUUUUUUUAAUUUCUUGUUUCUUUUGGAUUUUAACGGGCCCAGGCGAAAUGGGCUUAUUACAGCAGCAAUAGUUUUUUCUAGUUCGAAAUUGUAUAUGGGUUUAAUCAACUAAUGGUUUUGCAUAGAA